UAGUUGGUGGGGUAAAGGCCUACCAAGGCGACGAUCUGUAGCGGGUCUGAGAGGAUGAUCCGCCACACUGGAACUGAGACACGGUCCAGACUCCUACGGGAGGCAGCAGUGGGGAAUUUUGGACAAUGGGGGCAACCCUGAUCCAGCCAUGCCGCGUGAGUGAAGAAGGCYUUCGGGUUGUAAAGCUCUUUCGUCCGGGAAGAAAUCGCACAGGCUAAUACUCUGUGUGGAUGACGGUACCGGAAUAAGAAGCACCGGCUAACUACGUGCCAACAGCCGCGGUAAUACGUAGGGUGCGAGCGUUAAUCGGAAUUACUGGGCGUAAAGCGUGCGCAGGCGGUUUUGUAAGACAGGCGUGAAAUCCCCGGGCUCAACCUGGGAACUGCGCUUGUGACUGCAAGGCUAGAGUACGGCAGAGGGGGGUGGAAUUCCACGUGUAGCAGUGAAAUGCGUAGAGAUGUGGAGGAACACCGAUGGCGAAGGCAGCCCCCUGGGCCGAUACUGACGCUCAUGCACGAAAGCGUGGGUAGCAAACAGGAUUAGAUACCCUGGUAGUCCACGCCCUAAACGAUGUCAACUAGGUGUUGGGUGGGUAAAACCAUUUAGUACCGUAGCUAACGCGUGAAGUUGACCGCCUGGGGAGUACGGCCGCAAGGUUAAAACUCAAAGGAAUUGACGGGGACCCGCACAAGCGGUGGAUGAUGUGGAUUAAUUCGAUGCAACGCGAAAAACCUUACCUACCCUUGACAUGUCCGGAAUCCCUGAGAGAUUGGGGAGUGCCCGAAAGGGAAUCGGAACACAGGUGCUGCAUGGCUGUCGUCAGCUCGUGUCGUGAGAUGUUGGGUUAAGUCCCGCAACGAGCGCAACCCUUGUCGUUAAUUGCCAUCAUUAAGUUGGGCACUUUAGCGAGACUGCCGG
rnacentral:rRNA from 1 species